GAUCUUCACUUACUUGUGGAAAGAUGUGGUUCUUCCACCAUUCACCUUGUGGUCUUCUUUCACGUGUUGGAUAUCUUCUUUCAUGCAAAGAAGAUGAGCCUUCAUGCACCUUUUGCUCCCUUCUAUGGCUCAUACACUUCCUUCUCUCAUUCAUUGGUUGAUAUUCUUCAUCUUCAUUCUCUUCAUUGUCCUUGUUGUAUCUUGCUGGAAUUGAAGUCUUUAUAGAGUUGGGCUCCUCUUCAAUGAUAUCUUCAUUUCCAUCUUCAUUUUGAGAAUGCUCUUCUUCAUCUUCUUCUUUGUUUGCUGAAAUUGAAGAUGUGUCCACAAACACACCACUACUCCUACUUGGACACAUCUCCCACUUUUCACUUGCACUCUUAUAUUCCAAGAACUCUACAUCACGACUUUUGAUGAUCUUUUUGGUGUCUAAACACAUGAGCCUAUAUGCCUUGGUGCCUUCACAAUAUCCAAGAAAUGCACAUCUUGUGCCCUUUGCAUGAAGUUUGCCUCUCAUACUAUCUGGAACUUUAGCAUAUGCAAUGCAUCCAAAAAUCCUCAUAUGAGAUAAACAAGGUUUCUUACCAGUCCAAGCUUCUUCGGGAGUCAUUCCUUCAAGUGCACUUGUGGGACACCUAUUUCUUGUAUAUACGGCAUUUACCACAGCUUCCGCCCAAUACUCAUAUCCAAGCUUUUGAGCAUGAAUCAUACUCCUUGCCAUCUCCACAAUGGUGCGAUUUGCUCUUUCAGCAACUCCAUUUUGUUGUGGGGUAUAGGGAGUGGAGGUUUGUCUUGCAAUGCCUUCAUGCUUCAAUAACUCAUCAAAGUCUUUGGACAAAUACUCACCUCCAUUGUCCGAUCGCAGCACCUUAAUCUUGUGCUCACAUUGCUUCUCCACAAGUGCUUUCCACUCCUUAAACUUAGCAAAACACUCACUUUUGGCCUUGAUGAUAUAAAUCCAUACCUUCCUUGAAAAGUCAUCAAUAAAUGUGACAAAAUAUCUUGCUCCACUCAUAGAUGCUGUUUUCAUGGGUCCACAAACAUCCGAAUGCACAAGCUCCAGCAAUUGAUUUGCUCUUGUUGCAAUUCCACUAGGAAAUGGUGUCCUAUGUUGUUUGCCUUGAAUGCAACCUUCACAAGAUAGAUUCAUAGUAGAAUGGCCAAGGUCUAAACCACUUACCAUGGAUUGAAGCUCCUUCAUGCUUUUGGCAUUCAAAUGUCCAAGUCUUUGAUGCCAAAUGCCCACCUUAUCUUCAUUUGAUGGAAAUUCAGCAAAAGCAGCAACCUCUACUCCAUUGAUGCGCUUGCAAUUGAUAAUAUAGAGAUUGCCAUCUCUAAUCCCUUUUGCUACUUCUUUGCCUUCCAUGGUUCUCACAAAACAUCCAUUCAUAUUGAAUUGCACUUUGCACCCAUGACUUACAAGUUUACUCACCGAAAGGAGGUUCUUCUUCAUCUUUGGCACAUGCAACACAUCCUUGAGUGUGAUCCUCUUGCUUAUGCCCUUGAGCACUACUUCCACUUCAAUGGUGCCCAUUCCAAUGGCUUGUACCAUACCAUUAUCACCUAGCCAAACCUUAGUUGCUGGAAUUGGUUGAUAAGUGUUAAAUGAACACUUGUAUGGAGUCAUGUGUUUGGUACAUCCAGAAUCCACGAUCCAUUUGCUCAUAUCAAGCAUGGAAGAAGUUUGUUUUGCCAUGAAUGCAAAGUCAUCACCUCCAUGGUCAUGAAAAGCAUUAUUGGCAUUCUCUCUUUGUCCUCUCUUUGCCUUGAAACAAUUCCUAGCAAAAUGCCCUGGUUUUCCACAAAUAUAACAAGUUUUGGGAAGAUUACGUUGAAUGGAAGUACUUGCCUUACUUGGUCUCGUGAAUAGUGCUGAUUGCUCUCCAAUAGACUCCUUUUGCUUUCUUUUGGUCACUUCAUGGGCUAGUCUUGCCGUGACAUAGUCCAAAGUAAGAUCUUUUCUUGAAAUUGACUCCAAUGCCACAAUGAGGGAGGAAUAGGAGUCCGGAAGGCUUGAGAGCAAUGUCAUCACAACAUCUUCUUCAGGUAAAGGCUUGUCAAUAACAGCAAGUUGGUUUGCAAGUGCUUUUACCUUAUUUACAUGAGCCAUGAGAUCUUCACCUUCUUCCAUCUUCACGGUGAAGAAUUUUUGCCUUGACCAUAGUACAUUGGAGAGAUUUCUACUCUCAUAGACGUUGUAAAGAGUCUUCCAUGCCUCUGCUGCCCCUUUGCAAGAAAUGACAUGAGCAAAGUUGCUCUCAUCUAUAUUGGUGGCAAUUAUGCCAAAAGCCUUCUUUUCUCGUCUUUUGAACUCCUUAUGCUCCUUGAUGCUUGCCUCUACCCCAGGUGCCUCUUCCUCCUCACAUAAAAUCUCCCAAAGAUCCAAUGACGCCAAAAGUAGCUCCAUUUUGGCCUUCCAGUGGUGAAAGUUGUCACCUUUGAACUUUUCAACCAUUCUCAAGCUAUCACCCUCAAAAGAUGCCAUCUCAAGCUACACGUAGGUCCAAAAAACUCUUGAUUUGGAGUUGUAAUGGAGAAGAUAUCACUACUCAAAGAUCGCUGAACCACAAACCCAGAAUUCGCUGUUUUGCAACUUUUUGUAAAUUAUGAGUCCAAAUCACGUCUAAAUGGUGGGGAAUGAAUUGUAAAGUAAUUCUAUGGCUCUCAUUAGUCUCCCUCACGUCACUCCACUCAAAAUGACUCACUAUCUCAUGAAACUUUCAAACACUAGUGUUACUUCAGCAAAGACACUAUCAAGGUCUUGCACAAAACUCAUGUACUCACAAAUCCAGGAGCAAUGACUUCAACAACACACUAGCAACACUCUACCAUAAGAUCCCAACCACCAAAGUAAGCAACAAAGAAAAUAAUGCAAGAACAACUUACUUGGUAAGAGAGUGUGGGCCCAUAACCUAUUGAAACAUAGAAAGCAAACUCCACACAAGCAAGUUAGGACCAGCAAGGUUGCACUUCACAAAUAGAAUGUGGUAUGAGAUGAUUCUUCCCAUGCCAACCCUUUUCUUAUAUACUAGUACCAAGGUACCAUGUGUUACAACCCAUAUGGGAUAUCUCUUAGGACCAGCCCUCUCCUUGUAUUCUAAGGCACUAUAGACCAGCAACUAACCUUGUAGGAUAUCCCUCAUUACUCAUAUACUCUAUUGACCAUUAGCAACAACUAAAUGAGUUCUUUCCUUCAAAAUAUGGGAUAUCUCUUAGGACCAGCCUUCUCCUUGUAUUCUAAGGCACUAUAGACCAGCAACUAACCUUGUAGGAUAUCCCUCAUUACUCAUAUACUCUAUUGACCAUUAGCAACAACUAAAUGAGUUCUUUCCUUCAACAAUGAUAAUAUAGAGAUUGCCAUUCCUAGUCCCUUUUGCUACUUCUUUGCCUUCCAUGGUUCUCACAAAACAUCCAUUCAUGUUAAAUUGCACUUUGUACCCAUGAGUUAUAAGUUUACUCACAGAAAAGAGGUUCUUCUUCAUCUUUGGCACAUGCAACACAUCCUUGAGAGUGAUUCUCUUGCUUAUGCCCUUCACCACCACCUCCACUACAAUGGUGCCUAUUCCAAUGGCUUGUACCAUACCAUUAUCACCUAACGAAACCUUGGUUGCUGGAAUUGGUUGAUAAGUGUUAAAUGAAUACUUGUAUGGAGUCAUGUGUUUGGUACAUCCGGAAUCCACUAUCAAUUUGCUCAUAUCAAACAUGGAAGGAGUUUGUUUUGCCAUGAAUGCAAAGUCUUCACCUCCAUGGUCAUGAAAAGCAUUGUUGGCAUCCUCUCUUUCUCCUCUCUUUGCCUUGAAACAAUUUCUAGCAAAAUAUCCUGAUUUUCCACAAAUGUAACAAGUUUUAGGAGGAUAACGUUGGAAAGGGGCACUUGCCUUACUUGGUCUUGUAAAUAGUGCUGAUUGCUCCCCAAUAGACUCCUUUUGCUUUCUUUUGGUCACUUCAUAUUGAAACAAAGAAAGCAAACUCCACACAAGCAAGUUAGGACCAGCAAGGUUGCACUUCACAAAUAGAAUGUGGUAUGAGAUAAUUCUUCCCAUGCCAACCCUUUUCUUAUAUACUAGUACCAAGGUACCAUGUGUUACAACCCAUAUGGGAUAUCUCUUAGGACCAGCCCUCUCCUUGUAUUCUAAGGCACUAUAAGCCAGCAACUAACCUUGUAGGAUAUCCCUCAUUACUCAUAUACUCUAUUGACCAUUAGCAACAACUAAAUGAGUUCUUUCCUUCAACACUCCCACUUUGCUACUGGUCAAUUAGCUAUCAAUCCUAAUGCCUUACUCAAUAUGUUGUGUCUCUCUUUCACCAAGGCUUUUGUUAGCAAAUCAGCCAACAUGUCUUUGGUUUCACAAUACAUCAUAUCAAUAACUCCCAUCUCUAUCUUCUCUCUUAUAAAGUGGUGUUGAAUAUCAAUGUGCUUGGUUCUUGCAUGAUGCUUUGGAUUCUUUGCAAAAGCCAAACAUCCUUGAUUGUCACAUCUCAACGGAGUGGCUUCCAAUUGCACAAGUCCAAUGUCUUCCAACAACAACCUCAAUCAAAUUGCCUCCAUUGCUCCAUGACUUGCUGCCAUAUACUCCGCCUCCAUUGUGGACCUUGCAAUGGUUGGUUGUCUCUUACAAUUCCAAGAUAUGGCUCCCAUUCCAACAAAGAAUACAUAGCCCUUUGUUGAUCUUCUAUCAUUUGUAUCUCCAGCCCAAUCCGCAUCACAAUAUCCAUGUAAUGCAAUGUUAUUUCCUUCAAGACAUAGUUUUUGGUUCAAAGAGCCUUUCAAGUACCUCAUGAUUCUUUUGAUGGUUGCCCAAUGCAUAGGACCUGGUUUUGCCAUGUGUUGACUUACAACACUUACUGCAAAUGCAAGAUCCAUCCUUGUACCCACCAUUGCAUACAUGAGUGAGCCUACUGCUGUCUUGUAUGGUAUGCCUUGCAUUUGAUGCUCCACUUCAGCAUAUUCCUCAUCCGUGAGCUUCAUCAACUUCAAGUUGGCUUCCAAAGGAGUUCCAAUGGGCUUGCAAUCUUGCAUAUUGAAUCGUUUCAAUACUUCUUCAAUGUACUUGCUUUGACUCAAUGUGAUGGUCUUUGAUACUCUAUUCCUUGUAAAUUCCACACCCAAACAAUAAUGAAGCUCUCCCAAAUCACUCAUUUCAAACUCUUUCUCCAAUUUCUUCUUCAACCAAUCUAAUUUUACCAUGGUGUUGCUUAAGAUGAUUAAAUCAUCUACAUAGAGGAUCACAACCAGCAAGAAGUCCUUGGCUUGCAACACAUACAAAGAAUGGUCAGCUUCACUUCUUAUAAAACCUUCCUUCACAAAGAAUGAGUCAAUGCGUUGAUACCAUGCUCUUGGUGAUUGCUUGAGUCCAUACAAUGACUUCUUCAACUUGCAUACAAGGUUGGGUUUGUCUCGAUCAAUAAAUCCUUGAGGUUGCUCCAUGUAGAUGUCUUCUUCCAAUUCUCCAUUCAAGAAGGCUGUCUUGACGUCCAUUUGAUGCAUCUCCAAGUCUAUUGAUGCUCCAAUUGCUACUAUCGUUCUAAUGGUAGUGAAUUUGGCCACUGGAGCAAAUGUCUCAUUAAAAUCCACUCCAGCAACUUGUGAGUAGCCUUUGGCAACCAAUCUUGCUUUGUACCUCACAACAUUGCCCAUAGCAUCUCUCUUGGUUCUAAACACCCACUUACAUCCAAUUGCUGAACGAUUUGGUGGAAGUGGAGUCAACUCCCAUGUCUUGUUGUCCAUAAGAGAUUUGUACUCUUCUUGCAUAGCAAUCUCCCACUUCAUUGCAUCACCACACCUCAUUGCAUCACACAAAGUCAAUGGAUCAUCAAGAAGAGCAACAUUGGCCUGAUCUUCACUUACUUGUGGAAAGAUGUGGUUCUUCCACCAUUCACCUUGUGGUCUUCUUUCACGUGUUGGAUAUCUUCUUUCAUGCAAAGAAGAUGAGUCUUCAUGCACCUCUUGCUGCCUUCUAUGGCUCAUACACUUCCUUCUCUCAUUCAUUGGUUGAUAUUCUUCAUCUUCAUUCUCUUCAUUGUCCUUGUUGUAUCUUGCUGGAAUUGAAGUCUUUAUAGAGUUGGGCUCUUCUUCAAUGAUAUCUUCAUUUCCAUCUUCACUUUGAGAAUGCUCUUCUUCAUCUUCUUCUUUGUUUGCUGAAAUUGAAGAUGUGUCCACAAACACACCACUACUCCCACUUGGACACAUCUCCCACUUUUCACUUGCA
rnacentral:lncRNA from 1 species